rnacentral:rRNA from 1 species
AUUGAACGCUGGCGGCAUGCCUUACACAUGCAAGUCGAACGGUAACGGGCCUUCGGGUGCCGACGAGUGGCGAACGGGUGAGUAAUACAUCGGAACGUGCCCGAUCGUGGGGGAUAACGAGGCGAAAGCUUUGCUAAUACCGCAUACGAUCUACGGAUGAAAGCAGGGGACCGCAAGGCCUUGCGCGGACGGAGCGGCCGAUGGCAGAUUAGGUAGUUGGUGGGAGAAAAGCUUACCAAGCCGACGAUCUGUAGCUGGUCUGAGAGGAUGAUCAGCCACAUGGGGAAGGGGACCGGGCCCAAACCCCUACGGGGGGCAGCAGGGGGGAAUUUGGGAAAAGGGGCGCAAGCUUGAUCCACCCAUGCCGCGGGCAGGAUGAAGGCCUUCGGGUUGUAAACUGUUUUUUUACGGAACAAAAACCCUUUUUUUAAUACAGGGGGGUCAUGACGGGACCGUAAGAAUAAGCACCGGCUAAUUACGU